UGCCUGAGCCAGGGCCAUGA
rnacentral:misc_RNA from 1 species